rnacentral:lncRNA from 1 species
AUGAGAAGAAACGGAGCAGGGGAAGGAGAAGAAACGGACAGAGGAAGAAGAAACGGAGGAGAGGAAAGAGAAGAAACGGAGCAGAGGGAAGGAGAAGAAACAGAGGAGAGGGAGAAAAAACGGAGGAGAGGAAAGAGAAGAAACGGAGCAGAGGGAAGGAGAAGAAACAGAGGAGAGGGAGAAGAAACGGAGGAGAGUAAAGAGAAGAAACGGAGCAGAGGGAAGGAGAAGAAACAGAGGAGAGGGAAGAGAAGAAACAGAGCAGGAGAAAGAGAAGAAACAGAGGAGAGGAAAGAGAAGAAACAGAGGAGAGGAAAGAGAAGAAACAGAGGAGAGGAAAGAGAAGAAACAGAGGAGAGGAAAGAGAAGAAACAGAGCAGAGGAAAGAGAAGAAACAGAGGAGAGGAAAGAGAAGAAACAGAGCAGGAGAAAGAGAAGAAACAGAGGAGAGGAAAGAGAAGAAACAGAGCAGGAGAAAGAGAAGAAACAGAGCAGGAGAAAGAGAAGAAACAGAGGAGAGGAAAGAGAAGAAACAGAGGAGAGGAAAGAGAAGAAACAGAGGAGAGGAAAGAGAAGAAACAGAGCAGGGGAAAGAGAAGAAACAGAGGAGAGGGAAGAGAAGAAACAGAGCAGGAGAAAGAGAAGAAACAGAGGAGAGGAAAGAGAAGAAACAGAGCAGGAGAAAGAGAAGAAACAGAGGAGAGGAAAGAGAAGAAACAGAGGAAAGGAAAGAGAAGAAACAGAGGAGAGGAAAGAGAAGAAACAGAGGAGAGGAAAGAGAAGAAACAGAGCAGAGGAAAGAGAAGAAACAGAGGAGAGGAAAGAGAAGAAACAGAGCAGGGGAAGGAGAAGAAACAGAUGAGAGGAAAGAGAAGAAACAGAGCAGGGGAAGGAGAAGAAACAGAUGAGAGGAAAGAGAAGAAACAGAGCAGGAGAAAGAGAAGAAACAGAGGAGAGGAAAGAGAAGAAACAGAGCAGGAGAAAGAGAAGAAACAGAGCAGGAGAAAGAGAAGAAACAGAGGAGAGGAAAGAGAAGAAACAGAGCAGGAGAAAGAUAAGAAACAGAGGAGAGGAAAGAUAAGAAACAGAGGAGAGGAAAGAGAAGAAACAGAGGAGAGGAAAGAGAAGAAACAGAGGAGAGGAAAGAGAAGAAACAGAGCAGGAGAAAGAGAAGAAACAGAGGAGAGGAAAGAGAAGAAACAGAGCAGGAGAAAGAGAAGAAACAGAGCAGGAGAAAGAGAAGAAACAGAGGAGAGGAAAGAGAAGAAACAGAGCAGGAGAAAGAGAAGAAACAGAGCAGGAGAAAUAGAAGAAACAGAGGAGAAGAAAGAGAAGACACAGAGGAAAGGGAAGGAGAAGAAACAUAGGAGAGGGAGAAGAAACAGAGCAGAGGAAAGAGAAGAAACAGAGGAGAGGAAAGAGAAGAAACAGAGCAGGGGAAGGAGAAGAAACAGAGGAGAGGAAAGAGAAGAAACAGAGCAGGAGAAAGAGAAGAAACAGAGGAGAGGAAAGAGAAGAAACAGAGCAGGAGAAGGAGAAGAAACAGAGGAGAGGAAAGAGAAGAAACAGAGCAGGAGAAAGAGAAGAAACAGAGGAGAGGAAAGAGAAGAAACAGAGCAGGAGAAAGAGAAGAAACAGAGGAGAGGAAAGAGAAGAAACAGAGCAGGAGAAAGAGAAGAAACAGAGGAGAGGAAAGAGAAGAAACAUAGGAGAGGAAAGAGAAGAAACAGAGGAGAGGAAAGAGAAGAAACAGAGCAGGAGAAAGAGAAGAAACAGAGGAGAGGAAAGAGAAGAAACAGAGCAGGAGAAAGAGAAGAAACAGAGGAGAGGAAAGAGAAGAAACAGAGGAGAGGAAAGAGAAGAAACAGAGCAGGGGAAGGAGAAGAAACAGAGCAGGAGAAAGAGAAGAAACAGAGGAGAGGAAAGAGAAGAAACAGAGGAGAGGAAAGAGAAGAAACAGAGGAGAGGAAAGAGAAGAAACAGAGCAGGGGAAGGAGAAGAAACAGAGCAGGAGAAAGAGAAGAAACAGAGGAGAGGAAAGAGAAGAAACAGAGGAGAGGAAAGAGAAGAAACAGAGGAGAGGAAAGAGAAGAAACAGAGCAGAGGAAAGAGAAGAAACAGAGGAGAGGAAAGAGAAGAAACAGAGGAGAGGAAAGAGAAGAAACAGAGCAGGGGAAGGAGAAGAAACAGAUGAGAGGAAAGAGAAGAAACAGAGCAGGAGAAAGAGAAGAAACAGAGGAGAGGAAAGAGAAGAAACAGAGCAGGAGAAAGAGAAGAAACAGAGCAGGAGAAAGAGAAGAAACAGAGGAGAGGAAAGAGAAGAAACAGAGCAGGAGAAAGAUAAGAAACAGAGGAGAGGAAAGAGAAGAAACAGAGCAGGAGAAAGAGAAGAAACAGAGGAGAGGAAAGAGAAGAAAGAGCAGGAGAAAGAUAAGAAACAGAGCAGGAGAAAUAGAAGAAACAGAGGAAAGGGAAGGAGAAGAAACAGAGGAGAGGGAGAAGAAACAGAGCAGAGGAAAGAGAAGAAACAGAGGAGAGGAAAGAGAAGAAACAGAGCAGGGGAAGGAGAAGAAACAGAGGAGAGGAAAGAGAAGAAACAGAGCAGGAGAAAGAGAAGAAACAGAGGAGAGGAAAGAGAAGAAACAGAGGAGAGGAAAGAGAAGAAACAGAGCAGGAGAAAGAGAAGAAACAGAGGAGAGGAAAGAGAAGAAACAGAGGAGAGGAAAGAGAAGAAACAGAGGAGAGGAAAGAGAAGAAACAGAGGAGAGGAAAGAGAAGAAACAGAGGAGAGGAAAGAGAAGAAACAGAGGAGAGGAAAGAGAAGAAACAGAGGAGAGGAAAGAGAAGAAACAGAGGAGAGGAAAGAGAAGAAACAGAGAAGAGGAAAGAGAAGAAACAGAGCAGAGGAAAGAGAAGAAACAGAGGAGAGGAAAGAGAAGAAACAGAGCAGGGGAAGGAGAAGAAACAGAUGAGAGGAAAGAGAAGAAACAGAGCAGGAGAAAGAGAAGAAACAGAGGAGAGGAAAGAGAAGAAACAGAGCAGGAGAAAGAUAAGAAACAGAGCAGGAGAAAGAGAAGAAACAGAGGAGAGGAAAGAGAAGAAACAGAGCAGGAGAAAGAUAAGAAACAGAGGAGAGGAAAGAUAAGAAACAGAGGAGAGGAAAGAGAAGAAACAGAGGAGAGGAAAGAGAAGAAACAGAGGAGAGGAAAGAGAAGAAACAGAGCAGGAGAAAGAGAAGAAACAGAGGAGAGGAAAGAGAAGAAACAGAGGAGAGGAAAGAGAAGAAACAGAGGAGAGGAAAGAGAAGAAACAGAGGAGAGGAAAGAGAAGAAACAGAGGAGAGGAAAGAGAAGAAACAGAGGAGAGGAAAGAGAAGAAACAGAGGAGAGGAAAGAGAAGAAACAGAGGAAAGGGAAGGAGAAGAAACAUAGGAGAGGGAGAAGAAACAGAGCAGAGGAAAGAGAAGAAACAGAGGAGAGGAAAGAGAAGAAACAGAGCAGGGGAAGGAGAAGAAACAGAGGAGAGGAAAGAGAAGAAACAGAGCAGGAGAAAGAGAAGAAACAGAGGAGAGGAAAGAGAAGAAACAGAGCAGGAGAAGGAGAAGAAACAGAGGAGAGGAAAGAGAAGAAACAGAGCAGGAGAAAGAGAAGAAACAGAGGAGAGGAAAGAGAAGAAACAGAGCAGGAGAAAGAGAAGAAACAGAGGAGAGGAAAGAGAAGAAACAGAGGAGAGGAAAGAGAAGAAACAGAGGAGAGGAAAGAGAAGAAACAGAGCAGAGGAAAGAGAAGAAACAGAGGAGAGGAAAGAGAAGAAACAGAGGAGAGGAAAGAGAAGAAACAGAGCAGGGGAAGGAGAAGAAACAGAUGA